UGUGUCAUGCUCAGCUUACAAUGACUAGAGGACCUAAGCCUGAGAGUCACCAAUGCCUCUCCCUUGCUUCUCCAGCUGCUGAGCAUUGAAAAGCCCUAAUGGGACAGCAUCUGUUUGCAGACAUACUGGAUUAUUCUUCUUCACUUUAUCUCUCUGAGUCACCUCCACUCACAGUCCACGUUAAGAACAAAUGAAAUGGGAAUCACCAUCUGAACAACUAAUUAUCACCUACUCAGCAUUUGUAGCCUAAUACUGUGCCUAUGGCAAUCUCAAGCUUCCCUGAGUGUUGCUGCCCCAGCAAGAAGAAUGAAGAACUGAGGUCAAACCCCAGUGAACCUUUCAAGGGGUUAGAAGAAAGCCAUCAGAGAUACUGCACUUCUUUGUCCUUAGAUUAAAUCAAGAUGAUACAACGUGAA